rnacentral:rRNA from 1 species
CCUACGGGGAGCAGCAGUGAGGAAUAUUGGUCAAUGGUCGGGAGACUGAACCAGCCAAGCCGCGUGAGGGAUGAAGGUACAGAGUAUCGUAAACCUCUUUUGUCAGGGAACAAAGGCGGGGCCGCGCCCCCGGAUGAGGGUCCCUGAAGAAAAAGCAUCGGCUAACUCCGUGCCAGCAGCCCCGGUAAUCCGGAGGAUGCGAGCGUUAUCCGGAUUGAUUGGGUUUAAAGGGUGCGCAGGCGGUCUUUUAAGUCAGCGGUCAAAGCCCGGGGCUCAACCCCGGCCCGCCGUUGAAACUGGCAGUCUCGAGUUGGAGAGAAGUAUGCGGAAUGCGCGGUGUAGCGGUGAAAUGCAUAGAUAUCGCGCAGAACUCCGAUUGCGAAGGCAGCAUGCCGGCUCCACACUGACGCUGAGGCACGAAAGCGUGGGUAUCGAACAGGAUUAGAUACCCCGGUAGUC